AUUGAACGCUGGCGGCAGGCCUAACACAUGCAAGUCGAACGAGUGGCGGACGGGUGAGUAAUGUCUGGGAAACUGUCUGAUGGAGGGGGAUAACUACUGGAAACGGUAGCUAAUACCGCAUACUACAGGAUGUGCCCAGAUGGGAUUAGCUGGUAGGUGGGGUAAAGGCUAACCUGGGCGACGAUCCCUAGCUGGUCUGAGAGGAUGACCGCAAAAACGGGAACUGGAAAACGGCCAGGACUCCUACGGAGGGCGUCAGUGGGAAAUAUUGGACAUUGGGCGCAAGCCUGAUGCAGCCAGGCGGCGUGUAUGAGGAGGGCCUUCGGGUUGUAAAGUACGUUCAGCGGGGAGGCGGUACCCGCAGAAGAAGCACCGGCUAACUCCGUGCCAGCAGCCGCGGUAAUAC
rnacentral:rRNA from 1 species